AACAGGAUUAGAUACCCUGGUAGUCCAUGCCGUAAACGUUGGGCACUAGGUGUGGGGACCAUUCCACGGUUUCCGCGCCGCAGCUAACGCAUUAAGUGCCCCGCCUGGGGAGUACGGCCGCAAGGCUAAAACUCAAAGGAAUUGACGGGGGCCCGCACAAGCGGCGGAGCAUGCGGAUUAAUUCGAUGCAACGCGAAGAACCUUACCAAGGCUUGACAUGUUCUCGAUCGCCGUAGAGAUACGGUUUCCCCUUUGGGGCGGGUUCACAGGUGGUGCAUGGUUGUCGUCAGCUCGUGUCGUGAGAUGUUGGGUUAAGUCCCGCAACGAGCGCAACCCUCGUUCCAUGUUGCCAGCACGUAAUGGUGGGGACUCAUGGGAGACUGCCGGGGUCAACUCGGAGGAAGGUGAGGACGACGUCAAAUCAUCAUGCCCCUUAUGUCUUGGGCUUCACGCAUGCUACAAUGGCCGGUACAAUGGGUUGCGAUACUGUGAGGUGGAGCUAAUCCCAAAAAGCCGGUCUCAGUUCGGAUUGGGGUCUGCAACUCGACCCCAUGAAGUCGGAGUCGCUAGUAAUCGCAGAUCAGCAACGCUGCGGUGAAUACGUUCCCGGGCCUUGUACACACCGCCCGUCAAGUCACGAAAGUUGGUAACACCCGAAGCCGGUGGCCUAACCCUUGUGGGGGGAGCCGUCGAAGGUGGGACCAGCGAUUGGGACUAAGUCGUAACAAGGUAGCC
rnacentral:rRNA from 1 species